CGCGCAGCCGCUUAAAGCUGCAGCGCCCGUCAGAUGAGAAAGGCGACAUCUCACUGAUUCUGAUCCGCGGGUCCGCGCUGUGUGUUUACGUCCUUGUGCAGAAUCCGUGUUUCUGCUCUCAUUUACUGUUUUAGCUGUUUGGUGGUUGUUGAAAUUUUGUGAGGUUUCACCUGAGAUUCUGGCGUUUCGGGCAAAAUAAAUUUAUAUUAAAAAAUCGAUUCAGGAUUUUAAUGAAUCGAUUUCACGUUAUCCAAGCCAGAAUCGAUUUUAAUCGAUGAAUCGAUUAUUAAAACCCACCCCUACCUAAUUCACUAAACAUGGUGGAUAUAAGUGAUUUUUUGCGUGGCCGAGGGGUCCCCGAAGAUGCUAUUUUAUUAAUGGAAGAGCAGAAGAUGGACUGUGACGUCAUAGCACUGAUGGAUGACGCAACUUUGGCAAACUACAUUCCCUCGUACGGAGACCGAAUUGCCCUCUUCAAUUUCUGCAAAAGCAAGCAACCACUGUCAAAAAGAAAACUAGGACUUCUGCAAAAACUUCACCUCUUGAAGUGAGAGAAACAGUCGCUGACAUGUCAGAUUUGGAUGACUUAAUAAGACUGUAUUUCAGACUUUCCUUCAGUAACAAAGAAAUACUUUCAAUUUUAGCACAUAGUCAUCAGACAAUUAUAAGUGUUCGAACUCUAAAGAGAAUCUGUAAAAGACUUGGGCUUUUUAGAAGGAAGAAUCAAUCAAACUUGGAGGAAGUGCUAGCCUUUGUCCAACAAGAGAUCAUGACAAAUGGACAGAUGCAAGGUUAUCGUUGGCUACAUCUUCGUGCAAUUCAACAUGGAUUUGUGGUGUCACAAGAUACUGUACGAUGCAUAAUCAAAUUGGUAGACCCUCAAGGUGUGGAACUGAGACGAGCUCGACGGUUGAGAAGACGUCAGUACAGCUGCAGAGGGCCAAAUGCUCUCUGGCACAUGUAUGGCUAUGACAAGUUGAAACCAUAUGGUAUUGCUAUCAGUGGCUGCAUAGAUGGUUUUAGCCGCUAUGUUUUAUGGAUGGAGGCUUAUACCACAAACAAUGACCCUAAAUUGAUUGCAAGUUAUUUUCUGAAAACAGUUUCAUGCAUCAGUGGAUGUCCAGAGAGGUUACGUGCUGACCGAGGUACAGAAAAUGGUUGUGUCGAACAAAUGCAGAUGUUUUUACGGAGAAACCACACAGACAGUUUUGCAGGUGAGAAAAGUUUCCUUUACGGAAGAAGUACAGCCAACCAACGUAUAGAAGGAUGGUGGGCUACCCUACGCAAACAGAGUGCACAAUUUUGGAUGAACUUAUUUCAAAGUUUUCAGGAUGAUGGCCACUUCACAGGGGAUUUUUUGGACAAAAGUCUUAUCCAGUUCUGCUUUCUCAAUCUUAUUCAGGAUGAACUUGAUGAAGUUGUGAACACAUGGAACUCGCACAAAAUCCGGCCAAGUGGUAGUGCAGCAUCGGGUCGACCAGUAGUAAUGUACUCAUUUCCAGAGCUGCACAGUGCUGAGGACAGACUGAAACCUAUUUCUAUGGAGGAUAUCACUUUGUGUAUGGAAGAGUGUAGCCCAAAAGGUCAAUACCCCUGUGAUGAAACAGUCUUUGAACUGUGUUGUCUGCUUAUGGUAGAAAAUGAAUGGGAUGCCCCAGGAGAUCCACUUGGUGCUGCAGAUCUGUAUAUUAGGUUAAGAGAAGAAAUACUGCAAAGUAUUUAAGAAACUUCAGUGUGUAAAUGUACAAAUAAAUACAAAAUAUUUCUCUUUAUCUUGAUAACGUGACUUGAUAGUAGGUGCCAUGUCUUACAGGUACCUUUUAUGCAAGUAUUUCUGCACUGCAUUAAAUGAAAGACAUCUUUUAGGUAUGACCGAACAUGCCAUUUUUCAGGUCAUUCUGUCAGAAUAUUGCUGUUUAUUACUGCUGUAAUGUAAAUUCAGAGUGCUGAUAGGAGGUCGGCACCAACUAGUAUCAUUUUAUGUUGAUCAUAGUAAUAAAUACAGUUUGGUUGGUAUCUCCC